rnacentral:lncRNA from 1 species
UAUUAUCAAAUACUCUGGUGGCAUAGCCAGGAGGAUCCAGAGUUCUAGGCCAACCUAGGCUAUGUAGUGAGUUUUGAGUCAGCCACAGCAAAGCAAUGGGACUGACAUUUUUAUUUUUAAAUGUUAGUUUAAUUUCAUAAAAUAGUUCUUUUAGAGUUUUAUACAGUAGUCUUCCCUCCUUUUCCCAAACUCUUGCCAAUACUUGACUCCUUCCCUACACCAAAGUCCAAUUCAUACUAUCCAUCUAUCCCUAUAUUCUUGGGUGUGUAAUCAUCCUCCCUCCCUCCCCCGACUCUUCCCAGAUAAUCUGCCUCCUUCCCUAGAACAAAGUCUACUUCAUACUAUUUAUAUAUCCUAUAUUCUUGGGUGUGUACUCUUCUGAUGAAGUGUCGUUCAAUUCCCAGUAACUUCAGAAAGGUAAGAUAAUGAAAUCUAGUCUUUUGCUUCUUGCUGUUUUGUUUUGCCUCUCUCCCCAUUUUCUUCCUCCAACUUUCCACCUGAUCAUGGCUGGCCUCUACUUAUCUACUCUUUCUUUCUGCCUUCCUCUGACUCUAGGACCCUCUUAACUCCCCUCCCCAUGCCCUGAAUAAACUCUAAUCUAUAAAAAAAAAUAAGAAAAUAAAAAAAGUAAAGGAAAGAAAAGAAAAGAAAAGAAAUUUAAAAAAAGAAAAUGGACUCCUCCUUUCCCAGGAGCUGUCAGUUGCCAAUAGCUCCUUGACUAAAAAUGACUAAAAUAGCUCCUUGACUUAAUGCCUACCUCACCUCUUCAUGCUGGGGUUGGGUCUGCCUUGAGCUUGCACAGAUCUUCUGUAUGCUAUCACAUCUCUGUGUGGUUAUUGUAUAGCUGACAUGCUGCUUCCCAAAGACAUCUUGUCAUCUACUUUCUUUGACUCCAAUACCCUUUCUAUCCACUGUAGUACAAAAAUCCCUAAGACUUGGAAGGAAGGUAUGUGAUAUGGAUGUCCUGUUUAGGGCUAAGAAUUAUGCAGUCUGUCUCUGCAGCUUUACUGUCUGCUGCAAGGUUCUCUGAUGAGGCCAGCUUUAAAAGGUCUCGACAUGUAAAUUCAACGACAAAAUACUUGUCUGGGAUAUGUAAGGCCCUGGGUUUGAACCCCAGAAACACACACACACACACACAGAGAAAUUUCAGUUAUUAAUAAAAUACAAAAUAUAUUUCAUGUGCCUAUGGUCACAUAUGGCUUUAAUCAAGCACUCCGGUGGCAUAGUCAGGAGGAUCGAGUUCCAGGCCAACCUCGGCUAUGUAGUGAGUUUUGAGUCAGCCACAGCAAAGCAAUGGGACUGGCGUUUUUAUUUUUAAAUGUUAGUUUAAUUUCAUAAAAUAGUUCUUUUAGAGUUUUAUACAGUAAUCUUCCCUCCUUUCCCCAGACUCUUGCCAGAUACCUGCCUCCUUCCUUACACCAAAGUCCAAUUCAAAAUAUCCAUAUAUCCAUAUAUUGUUGGGUGUGUAGUCUUCUGCUGAAGUUUGGUUGACUUCCCUGAUACUUCAGAAAGAUAAGAAAAUGAACUCUACUCUCUUGCUUCUUGAUCUUUUGUUCCCCUCUGUCUCCCCAUUCCUUUCCUCCAACUCUCCACAUGUUAAUGGCUGGCCUCUACUUAUCUACUCUUUCUCUCUGCCUUUCUCUGACUAUAGGACCCUCUUAACUCCCCUCCCCAUGCCUGAAUGAACUCUAUUCUAUAC